ACUCCUACGGGAGGCAGCAGUGGGGAAUAUUGCACAAUGGGCGCAAGCCUGAUGCAGCGACGCCGCGUGGGGGAUGACGGCCUUCGGGUUGUAAACCUCUUUCAAUAGGGACGAAGCGCAAGUGACGGUACCUAUAGAAGAAGCACCGGCCAACUACGUGCCAGCAGCCGCGGUAAUAC
rnacentral:rRNA from 1 species